GCCAACAGUGCACAUCACUUCACAACGACUGUCACGUGGUUCCUGCCUCCGGUAUUGCUCCUGUAUCUCAGGUUAUGAGGAUAAGGUGGACUCGUCUUCUGUACAGCAUGCCUGUGGUAAUGGCCCCAACGCAUCUUCAACGAGCCGACGAGAGGACUUCUUCUUAGAGGAGGGCUGACUUUAAUUACAGAGAACACGGGCAGAUAAAUUCCUCCUUUGUCUCCUUCUAGAAAGGAAAUAUACUCACAACGAGAAGCACAUUCUCUGUCACAAUUAUCAUGAAGUAACAGCGACGUCAGCCAGCGUACCACUUCCCAGUGCUUUUCGUGGCUAGGCUAACGUUACGAUACUUCGACAGGGGAACCAAACCGUUGUGUUCAAGAGAAUUACGAAUAUAAAGAAUUACUGAUAUAUAUAUAAAUCAAAUCCUGUGGAACGACAAUAUUUAAUAAAAUAUGAGUGUGAAGAAAGUUAAUAUAUACUAAUAUUUCAUUGGUUUUCUUAAAAAAGAAAGAAUGAACAUUAUAACGUGGGAGAAUACACAAUUAUGUAUCAUGUUAUGUAACAGCUUGUUUUGUUAUCUAUUUGCUGUGAUUUCUUUCAACUAAUUUACGAGAGAGUAAACUACAAUUAAGUUACCUAAAUUGUCGAAACGGAAGUCAUGCAGUAAGUGCAAUAAGGUCAUUUGCCGAUUAUGAGUGAAAUAGGACUCCAUCUCAGCGUUAUAUUUCAUAUUUAUAAUGAUGAUAACAGGGUAAGACUGAAAUCAUUUACCAAAGAUUUCAUUCACCAAAGUAAUUUCUAAGCAUAUGUUAAUAUUUCACUUUUUGUGCUACACAUGCCUGCUGUAUACGUUUACAUGCUUAGUUCUGUGCAUCUGCACAUAGUACCGUGGUUCGAUUUGGUAAAUGCGGAUAUGGCCUAAGUAAAAUAUAUUCAAAACACGUACAAAAUCCUUUAACUUGCUCGGGAGGGGUGAGUGGGGUAGCAAACCGCACUUCUGCAUUGAUUACAGUCCACAUGCAACGUAACAACACAUAAAACAAUAGCUGUGGCCACUGUUACCUCAUAGCCCGCUUUCUCUUAGCUUGUUUCAUUAAUUUUGCAUAAGGAA